AACGAACGCUGGCGGCAUGCCUAACACAUGCAAGUCGAACGAGACCUUCGGGUCUAGUGGCGCACGGGUGCGUAACGCGUGGGAACCUGCCCUUAGGUUCGGAAUAACUCCCCGAAAGGGGUGCUAAUACCGGAUAAUGUCUUCGGACCAAAGAUUUAUCGCCUUUGGAUGGGCCCGCGUUGGAUUAGCUAGUUGGUAGGGUAAAAGCCUACCAAGGCGACGAUCCAUAGCUGGUCUGAGAGGAUGAUCAGCCACACUGGGACUGAGACACGGCCCAGACUCCUACGGGAGGCAGCAGUGGGGAAUAUUGGACAAUGGGCGAAAGCCUGAUCCAGCAAUGCCGCGUGAGUGAUGAAGGCCCUAGGGUUGUAAAGCUCUUUUACCCGGGAUGAUAAUGACAGUACCGGGAGAAUAAGCGCCGGCUAACUCCGUG
rnacentral:rRNA from 1 species